rnacentral:rRNA from 1 species
GACGAACGCUGGCGGCGUGCCUAAUACAUGCAAGUAGAACGCUGAAGCGAGGAGCUUGCUCUUCUUGGAUGAGUCGCGAACGGGUGAGUCACGCGUAUGUAACCUGCCUUGUAGCGGGGGAUCACUAUGGGAAACGAUAGCUAAUACCGCAUAACAUUGGAUUACAUAUGUCAUUUAUGUGAAUGUGGCAACUGCUCCACUAACACAUGGACUUUCGUUGUAUUAGCUAGUAGGUGAGGUACUGGCUCACCUAGGCGACGCAACGUAGCAGACCUGAGCGGACGGUCAGCCACACUGAGACUGAGACACGGCACAGAGUGCUACAGGAGGCAGCAGUAGGGCAUCUGCGGGAAUGGGGGCAACACUGAGCGAGCAAGGCGGCGUGAGGGAAGAAGGAUGUCGGGUGGUAGAGCUCUGUUGUCAGGCAAGAACGGGUGUGAGAGUGGAAAGUUCAGAGUGUGACGGUAGCUGAUCAGAAAGAGACGGCUAACUACGUG